rnacentral:RNase_P_RNA from 1 species
AGGGCAGAUUGGGCAGUCGCGGUAUCUCUUUGAGAUGUCGAGGAAGGUCCGGACUCCACAGGACAGGAUAACGGCUAACGGCCGUCCGGCGGUGCAUGCGGGUUCGCCUGAAUGUAUGAGACCGAGGAAUAGGACCACAGAGACGAGACUUCUGCGUGGGUCGUGCGCGCAAGCGCCCGACAUCGAUACGGCUAUCUCCGUAUGGCGUCGAUCGCAAGAUCGGCAACGCAGAAGGGUGAAACGCGGCAACCUCUAUCCGGAGCAACACCAAAUAGGCGUACGUGACGGCUUCGGCUGUCGUAGGGCGGUUCCGUCCGAGUGCGCGGGUAGGUGGCUAGACCAGGUCAGCAAUGGCUUGGCCAGAGGAAUGAUUGCCUGCCGGGGUGACCCGGUAUACAGAAUCCGGCCUAUAGAUCUGCUCUGCUU